AUUCCAGCUCCAAUAGCGUAUAUUUAAGUUGCUGCAGUUAAAAAGCUCGUAGUUGGAUUUCGGGCGGUUGACGACGGUCCGCCUCUGGUGUGCACUGCCGUUCUUCCGCCUUUCUGUCGGGGACGUGCUCCUAGGCUUCAUUGUCUGGGACACGGGUUCGACGUGGUUACUUUGAGUAAAUUAGAGUGUUCAAAGCAGGCAUCGCCUUGAAUAUAUUAGCAUGGAAUAGCACGAUAGGACUCUGGUGCUAUUUUGUUGGUUUCGAACACCGGAGUAAUGAUUAACAGGGACAGUCAGGGGCACUCGUAUUCCGCCGAGAGAGGUGAAAUUCUUAGACCAGCGGAAGACGAACCACUGCGUAAGCAUUUGCCAGGGAUGUUUUCAUUA
rnacentral:rRNA from 1 species